UAUUACUGUGAGAAUUAUGAUG
rnacentral:miRNA from 1 species